GUUUGAUCAUGGCUCAGGACGAACGCUGGCGGCGUGCUUAACACAUGCAAGUCGAACGAGAAUCUGUGGAAAGAGGAUUCGUCCAAUUGAAGCAGAGGACAGUGGCGGACGGGUGAGUAACGCGUGAGGAACCUGCCUUUCAGAGGGGGACAACAGUUGGAAACGACUGCUAAUACCGCAUGACACAUAGGUGUCGCAUGGCACUUAUGUCAAAGAUUUAUCGCUGAAAGAUGGCCUCGCGUCUGAUUAGCUAGUUGGUGAGGUAACGGCCCACCAAGGCGACGAUCAGUAGCCGGACUGAGAGGUUGAACGGCCACAUUGGGACUGAGAUACGGCCCAGACUCCUACGGGAGGCAGCAGUGGGGAAUAUUGGGCAAUGGGCGCAAGCCUGACCCAGCAACGCCGCGUGAAGGAAGAAGGCUUUCGGGUUGUAAACUUCUUUUGUCAGGGACGAGUAGAAGACGGUACCUGACGAAUAAGCCACGGCUAACUACGUGCCAGCAGCCGCGGUAAUACGUAGGUGGCAAGCGUUGUCCGGAUUUACUGGGUGUAAAGGGCGUGUAGCCGGGAGGGCAAGUCAGAUGUGAAAUCCACGGGCUCAACUCGUGAACUGCAUUUGAAACUACU
rnacentral:rRNA from 1 species